AAAUUGAAGAGUUUGAUCAUGGCUCAGAUUGAACGCUGGCGGCAGGCCUAACACAUGCAAGUCGAACGGUAACAGGAAACAGCUUGCUGUUUCGCUGACGAGUGGCGGACGGGUGAGUAAUGUCUGGGAAACUGCCUGAUGGAGGGGGAUAACUACUGGAAACGGUAGCUAAUACCGCAUAAUGUCGCAAGACUAAAGAGGGGG
rnacentral:rRNA from 1 species